ensembl:lncRNA
CUCCAGGCUCCUCAUGGAAUCAAGUUAAGAAGAGGUAAUGCAGGAUCAGGGUUGGCCCUACAUCCAAUGACUGGUGCCUUCCCGUAAGAAGAGGGAGAUCCGGACACACAGACACACGCAGUGAAGGUGGGCACGUUAAGGACACAGAUUAGCUCUGCUGCCCACAAGCCCAGGUGCGCUGGCAGCCACCAGGAGCUGGAAGAUGCGGAAACCUUCCUCCAGAGGGGCCUCUGGAAAAACUGUGACCCUGCUGACACCUUGAUUUUGGACUUUUAACCCCAAGAACUUCAAAAUGAUAAAUUUCUGUUGUUCACCACCACCAAGCUUGCGGUAACUGGUUGGACAGCAUCCAUGGAAAAUCACACAAUAUCCUGCAUAUUGAUUCGAUCUAAUUUCCAGUCAUUCUAUCCUAUGACUCGGGUACAAGUAUUUAUUAAAGGACAUUUACAACGCUUUUAUUUACAACAAAUGCCACAUGUUAGAUAUACAUUUCCAGUGAGAGAAAGUAAACAGUUCAAGAAUACAUGAAGUAAACAUCGCAACACUGAAGUCUGGUCUCACUUAAGCAACAAGAAAUGUCAAAUAUUGUCAUUACACCUUGAAUUCUGAUUUGAACUUAGGAAAUAAAAGGAAAGCCAGAGGAAUCAUCUACAUUUUCUGAACGUGAAAACACACUGCCUAUCUCUAAAUAGGAAAAAGCAUGAUUUCUGAGUUUAUCUCCAUUGACUUAUGUUCAAACCUGCCCUUCUGAUUAAAUAGUAAAAAAAAUACAUAUCAAAUUCUUAACUGGUAAAAUCAUUCCAAAACAAUCAAAUUGAGAUGCUAUGAUGACACCAUCCUCUGCUAGCAUGAAAAAAGCAAUAUACAAAUAGAACUCACUGACCUGGUAAGUUUUUUCCCCAGAGUUCAGUGGGAAAUUGUGUGUAUGGGACAGGGGUGGGGAACGGGUCAGCAGGAUGAGAGCAGAUAAGCCAGUGGGAAACUUGAUCAAACCGUUCACAUUAUAAGAGCAUAUUAAACAAUAAAGGUCUACCUGCAAGAUUUUACAAAGAUUCCUAGAGGUAAAAAGUUAGAGGUAAUCCAUGUUGCAAGCUCCAUUUUUGCCCUUAAGGGCCACAGAGCCAAGCCAGCCUCACGAGCCAGGCCAGCUUCUCCAGUGCACUCUACUGUUAUCAGGCCCGAUCUUUCUGCCCAGGAGCACCCCGCUCUGCAGAGCUGUCUCUUUGCUCCCCAAAUGCAGCAGUGGGUCUGCACCCACAGAGGGGGGUGCCCCCAGGCUCAGCCCCUGCAGAGAAAUACUCAUUCUGAGAGUAAAAACCUCUAACAGAGGCUGUAGCCGGAAUGCUACAAUGAGCUUGUUUAAUCAUAUUGUCCAUAUUUUGUGACACUUUGACAUUUUGGGAGCCUCGCUGACAGGGAAGAGAUGGCCCCUUCCUUGGCAGCAAAUUCUUCUCUUUUUUUGGGUCUGAAUUUUUUUUUUAAACUUUUUUUUUUGUAUUGGGGGUAUAGCCAGUAAACAAUGCUGUGAUCGUUUCAGGUGAACAGCGAAGGGACUCAACCAUGCACGUGCAUGUAUCCAUUCCCUUGGCAAGCAAUUCUGAGACACCAUCAAGAACCAUGACUCUCACAGGAAAACCAAGCAAUGCAGCACCCACACCCUGAGCCACCUCCUCCAAUGGCUCUUACCUGCCGGGAGGCAAGACUGCUCUGCCCGAGUCACCCAGGGCUGGCACCAGACAGCCGGAGGCCACCCUACAGCCCAGGGCCCCCGACAUUAUUCAAACCAGCCCGCGCCUUGCUGUCUCCCUGUCUUCACAACACAAGCUCCGCCCGCUCUCUCCCCUCUCCAGGCCCUGCCUCGGCUGGACCUCCUGCUUCUCCCUGUGGCCCUGGGCGGCACGGCACCACCCUCCCCACGCUGCCACUCAGUCACCUCCGUGUGGGCUGGGACUUCCCAGGCGUUCCAGUGGGUAAGAAUCCACUUUGCCGGCUCCCCCUGGUGGUCCAGUGGGUGAGAAUCUGCCUGCUGAUGCAGGGGACAGAGGUUCAAUCCCUGGUCUGGGAGGAUCCCACGUGUCUCAGAGCAAGUAAGCCCGCAUACAACUACUGAGCCCACGUGCUGCCACCUCAGAGGCUCGCACGCCUAGAGCCCACGCUCCACAUCGAGAGAAGCCGCUGCAAUGACAAGCCUGUGCACUGCAACCAGAGAGCAGCCGCCACUCACUACAACUAGAGAAAGCCCUCGUGCAGUAAAGAAGACCCAACACAGCCAAAAAACACUUAGAGAAAUCCCCCCGAAAAAAUAAAUCUUAAAAACCAAUCCCAGGGGACUUUCGUUCUAUCUCUGGUCAGGAACUGAGAUCCCACACGCUGCGGGGCAACUAAGCCCUCAUGUCACACCUAGAGAGCCUGCACUCUGCAAGGAAAGAGUCCCACAUGAUGCAACGAAGACGCGAUGCAAUUACGCAGCCAUUAGAAAGAAUACAUUUGAAUCAGUUCUGAUGAGGUGGAUGAAACUGGAGCCUAUUAUACAGAGUGAAGUAAGCCAGAGAGAAAAACACCAGUACAGUAUACUAACGCAUAUAUAUGGAAUUUAGAAAGAUGGUAACAAUAACCCUGUAUGCGAGACAGCAAAAGAGACACUGAUGUAUAGAACAGUCUUUUGGACUCUGUGGGGAGGGGGGAGAUGAUUUGGGAGAAUGGUAUUGAAACAUAUAUAAUAUCAUAUAAGAAAUGAAUCGCCAGUCCAGGUUCGAUGCAGGAUACUGGAUGCCCAGGGCUGGUGCACUGGGAUGACCCAGAGGGAUGAUAUGAGGAGGGAGGUAGAAGGUGGGUUCAGGAUGGGGAACACGUGUAUAUCUGUGGUGGAUUCAUGUUGAUGUAUGGCAAAACCAAUACAAUUUUAUAAAGUAAUUAACCUCCAAUUAAAAUAAAUAAAUUUAUAUUAAAAAAAAAAGACAUCUUUGUAAAAAAUCCUGUAGGUAUGUUUUAACACAGCUGGUGCAGCGAGCAGGGCGACUCUGUCCUUGACAGAGUGGCAUGCCCAUGACUGCUCCUGACUUACUAGACAGACGCACGGACUAGCCCACACUGCCUCUGGAGGCACAGCCAGCUGCUGGCACCCCUGGGCUCCAUCGCUCUGGCUGCCAUCGCCGCCGUGGUUUUCCAGCCUGAAUUGCAGGCGGCCCUCGCAGCCCGGGCCUCUGCGACCCUCACGCACUCUCGGGUGCUGUAGUCCAGGCUGAUGUUAAUGGUAAACCCCUAGUUGGCCCACUCUGGGAUACCUAACAUCCCAUUUGAUUCUCUACCCAGCCAGCCUCACUUCUGGGAUGGCCAACUGGAGGGUGACUAGGAUAACUGUCUGCGUUUGAAUCUGAGUCUCAGCAACCAAGGUAAAAGCCCAGCUAAGUCACCCCUCCCCGUUCUAUGAGUGAUGGCCCCCCGGCCUGCCCUUUCAGGGGUGUCCCCAGCAGAGUCCAGGUGUUGGUUCCAGUGUGGGAAAGGCCGACACGGUGCCAGGAGCCCUCCUCAGGGAAGCCAUGGGCCUAAUCGUGUGCAGGCUGCUUCCAGAGUGAGUGUCGCCUGCCUUGCUGCUGUGCGGCCUGUCCCUGGCCCAGCAGGAUGUUACAGAUCCCUUCUGAGGAGACCGGCAGCUCAACAUCCACUGCUCUGUGUAAAUUAUAACUCAGUUUCCUAAAGAAAGGAAAAGGAAAUGGGGAAGGAGUGCUUUGUCCCCAGUCCCCCAGGACCUGAGGACGUUUCUUAGCCUGUGUCUGCUCCACCAGGUUCUUUGUGACCCUCUGGACUGUAGCCUGCCAGGUUUCCGCUGGGCAUGGAAUUUCCCGGCAGUAAUACUGGAGUGGGUUGUUAUUUCUUCUCCAGGGGACCUUCCUGAUCCAGGGAUCGAACACACAACUCCUGUGUCUCCUGUACUGGCAGGAGGAUUCUUUACUACUGAGCCACCUGGGAAGCUUCUCAGCUCAUAGGAAACGGCAGAUCUCCUGGCCAACGUGUCUGGGCAUCAUGCGUGUUGCUGCCUAUGAAAAUGCUACAUCUUCCUCCCAAAUCAGGAUGCUGCACCUCUGCUCUCCUGGACCAAGACCAGCCCCCUGUGAUGUGGACUGGGGUACCAUAGAAAGGAGGCCUCUCAAGACCAUGAGGAGCUGAUCAGGCCACACCAAAGGAAAAAAAGAAAAAAAAAAAAAAGUUAUGCACAGAUGAGAGACCGAAAAAAAAAAGAGAGAGAGAGAGAGAGAUAAAGAAAAAAGAUACAAGCCAUCCUGAAAAAAAUUAAAAGAAAAAGGGGUAACGGGGAUGGAUGGUGCUGCAGUCGGCAGCUGUCCUGGGGAGAGCUUCUGCCUGAGGUUGCAGGUUUCUUCUCCACCCCCUCUCCCUCCAGUCAGAUGGAAACGAAAAACCUCAAGUUCAGGGGCUAAAGGCUUGACACAGAAAACUAUUUUUAAAAAAGAAAAACAGAAAAGGAAAAAUAUCCACUUAGACACAGGGGAGAAAAUAAAAGAUAACUGUAGAGAUCUAUCUACCUAUAUGUGUAUGUAUAUGUAUUUUUGCAUUAAAAUUAUAUAUAAUUUUAGGACUAUAUAUAAUUAUAUGUAUAUAAUAUAUAUAAUUAUAGGACUCCCCUGUAGCUCAAACGGUAAAGAAUCUGCCUGCAACACAGGAGACCUGGGCUUGAUCCCUGGGUCAGGAGGAUCCUCUGAAGAAGGGAAUGGCAAUCCAUUCCAGUAUUACUGCUUGUAGAAUCUCAUAGACAGAGAAGCCUGGAGGGCUACAGUUCGUGGGGUCACAAAGAGUCAGACAUGACUGAGCGACUAACACUAUAUAUUAAUUACACUGUAAAUAUUAUAUCAUAUAUAAUUUUAAUGCAAAUAAAAUAUAUAUAGUGAAACUUUUUAAAGGGAAACUUCACUAAAGUGGAGUCAGGAAGCCAGAAGGGCUGCUCAUGCCAUACCACUCCGACAUUAACUACAGAAAGUGCCAUCAGUUACAGACCCCAAAAGAAGAAUCAUCAACAAGAAGUGAUCAUCAAUUACAGGCCCCAACUGGGAAAGAUGUACACUGCAUGUCCUACCAGAAAUCGACUACCGAUAAACCAAAGUUGCUGAUAAAAACCCUAUUUUAUUUUGAAGGUCACCAAUACAUACACAUGGAGAAGGCAAUGGCACCCCACUCCAGUACUCUUGCCUGGAAAAUCCCACGGAUGGAGGAGCCUGGUAGGCUGCAGUCCAUGAGGUCUCGAAGAGUCGGACACGACUGAGCGACUUCACUUUCACUUUUCACUUUCAUGCACUGGAGAAGGAAAUGGCAACCCACUCCAGUGUUCUGGCUUGGAGAAUUCCAGAGACGGGGAAGCGUGGUGGGCUGCUGUCUGUGGGGUCCCAUAGAGUCGGACACGACUGAAGUGACUUAGCAGCAACAAUACAUAUACACGGGCUUCCCUGGUGGCUCCAUGGGGUCACAAGAGGGUAGGAUGUGACUCAGCUACUGAACAACGAUACAUAUACAUAUGUAACUACACUAAAACAGAGGUCUACAACUUGGUCCAGCUGGAAAUCCAGAAUCUAUCCACUCAAAGUUUAUCUCACAAAUUAUCCGAUUAGCGGUAUUUGGUCCUGUCCAAAACAUCCAUGUGGACAUCUGGUCCACACUCAACGGUCUUGUCAAAAACAUGUUUGGUCCUGUCAAAAAACACCCAGGCUUAGGAAACAUCCCUGGGUUCAAACAGCCAGUAACAUUUCUUUAUACUUUUGGUUUACAGGAUUAAUAUCUGAAAAAUACUAUCAUGUUUUAUUAGUCUAAUAAUUGUGCUGUAGCUGUAUUGCUGACAGUCUCGCUUCUUGCCCAGUAGCCUCGCUGGUAACAGCACGUGGGGUCAGGGCUCGAACCCUGCAGUAGCAGCUGAGACUGGGAUUUCAUGAUACAUGAUGAAUUAAAAUGUCACUGAGCUUUUUUUUUUUUUUUUUUUGGCAUUUCAAUUGUGUUUUUACCUUUCUUGAAAUAACAAAGCAUAAUAAGCUGAAAAUGUUGCUUUCACUGUGAUAAAGAACCCAUCUGCCAAUGCAGGAGAAAUAAGAGAUGUGGGUUCGAUCCCUGGGUCAGGAAGAUCCCCUGGAAGAGGGCAUAGCAACCCAUUCCAGUAUUCUUGCUUGGAGAAUCCCAUGGACAGAGAAGUCUGGGGGGCUAUAGUCCAAUCAGUUUCAGAGAGUCAGACACGACUGAAGCGACUUAGCACGCACACAAAAAUUCACCAAUUUCAAUACGCAUGCUGAUAUGACAGCUGUCACCAUACAAUCUAACAAAAUUAUUCUGAAUGAAGUUAAAGAAAACUAGCGGCUACCUGCAUUUGCAUGGGAAAGAAAUCACAACAUUAACCCUUUAUUGUGCACGACAGAUCUCAAGAUUGCGAAUAUAAAUGUUAUUAGACGACUCCUACCAAAUACAGAAAUUAAAGGGGGGGAGGAGCCAAGAUGGCGGAGGAGUAGGACGGGGAGAACACUUUCUCCCCCACAAAUUCAUCAAAAGAGCAUUUAAACGUCGAGUAAAUUCCACAAAACAACUUCUGAAUGCCGGCAGAGGACAUCAGGCACCCAGAAAAGCAAUCCAACUCUUCGAAAGGAGGUGGGAAAAAAUAUAAAAGACAAAAAAAGAGACAAAAGAGGGAGGAACGGAGUUCCGUCCCGGGAAGGGAGUCUUAAAAAGAGAGAAGUUUCCAAACACCAGGAAACCUUCUCACUGCCGAAUCUGUGCCGAGCUUUGGAAGCACAGAGGGCAACAUAACAGGAAGAAAAAAUAAACAAACAAUUAAAACUCGAAGAUUGCGAGUCCUACGGUAACUCCCCCAGCGGAGAAGCAGCGCAGACGCCUGCACGCACCAUUAGCAAGCGGGGGCUGGGCAGGGAGGCUACAUGCGCCGUGAGCAGGGGCAGACCCAGUGUGAGGCACUGGGCACUGAGGCACUGCGAGCACACGCCAG